AGUUCUGCUUCUGAAGCUGGAAGGGGCUUUUCGGUUGUAACCCUUGGGUUAGUUUCAGUUACUUCUUUGCUAGGUUGAGGAAAGGGUGGAAGCGCCUCCUGCAGCCACGAAUAUCCUCCAGUGCCUGAGAGAAAACGGCCUAAUCGAAAACGUCCGCGGCAUACAUCCAUUCUUAAAACUUGAGUGGCUGCUUUUCUGGGUGGAAAAGAGCGGUAUCAGACAGGGUGAGCAGUCGGGGAACGGAUGAACAAAGACUUGCACCGUGGCCCUGAUGCCUUUGUUCCGAGUUCUAUUCAGUUGUACUUGUGCGUUGUUACAGGACUUUAGAAUGCAGCCCUGCCCCCCAACCCCCACCUCCCAGGGCCGACCUGUGCUCCUAGGAAGGCAAACCUCCCAGGAAUAUAUUCUGCAUAACUAUACAAAUAGGCCUUUAUUCAAGGCUUUUGGAUUAUGACAAAGAUUACCCUCAGGAGUAGUAAGAUUCUACUAGCAGGAUAAUAGAAAGGAUUAAGGCUCCCCUCCAAAGAAAAUUUUUUUAAGUUAGAAACGGAGGCGAGCCGCAGUGGGUCAUGCCUGUAAUUUCAAUGCUUUGGAAGGCCGAGGUGGGAGGAUAGGAUAGCUUGAGGCUAGGAGUUCGAGACCAGCCUGGGCAACAUGGGGAGACCCCCCCCCAUCCCUCCAAAAAAGAAAAGAAAACUGGAAAGCCUUAAAGAAACCUUUCAAACUUUAGUGUGUAUCAGAAUUACCUGAAAGGUUUGUUAAAACAGAUUGCUGGGCCAUACCCCCAGAAUUCUCUGACUGGGCUAUCGGAAAUAAUGCCUGAGAAUGUGCAUAUCUAAUAAGUUCCUAGUUCCACUUUAGGACCCUAGAAGGUUAGUAUCUUUCCUCUCUACCAGGCUUAUCUUAGGAUGAACCGUUCGGGGUUUGCUGAUGUGAAGCUAAAACAAAAAUAUUCUUUAAAAGGAGGGAUGUCUUAUUCAGUCCAUAAGAUCAUCUAAUGUAUUAAGCUGGCUUGGGGGAUGAAUCGGGUGUUUCAUUCAUUCAUUUGACAGGUAAGCAUUGCUUACCUACUCUAUUAUGACGGGGUCUGUGCUGACUCCGAAUAUUCGGUGGGAUGCAAAAUAGUUAAGUGCUCUUGUAGAGUUUACAGAUUAGCGGAAAACAGACAAAUUGUGUUAAGAGCAAUAGAAAGAAGAGAGCGGAGGACUCUGAGAAAUGAAGGCGAGGAGUGGGAGAAUGAGAGGAAGGUGGAAGGCAGGUAAGGAGUCUGACCAGCUGGUAUUUAAAAGCUAAGAUGGGGGGAAGAGUCUCCCAGGAGAGUGAACAGCAAGUGUCAAGGACCUGAGGCAGGAACAAGCUUGGCUUCUUCCACAAAUUGAAAGAAGAUCCAUAUGAAAGAGUCAGAGAAGAUGCAAUGGGAGAUGAAGACUGAGAGAUAAGGAAGAGUGAAACAGUGCAAGAAUUUGUAGACUGCUCUAAGCAUUUUAAAGUUUAUCUUAAAAGCAGCUUGAUAAAUUAGAUUUAUGGUAAUUAGUUUAAAAAUAAAAAUAAAGCAACUUGAAAGGAUUUAGGCAAGAAAAAGUUGUGUCUGCUUUGUAGAGAAUGGCUCCAGCAGAGUCCAGAUUGAAUCAUACAUUGUAUGAUAUUCUGUGUUCCGGAGUUCGCAGAUAGAAGUAUGUGAGGGCCAGCAUCCAAAUGGAAUCAGUAACAAUGCCUGGAUUUUAUUCAGAUGCUGUGUACCCAGCCAAAAGACUACAUUUCUCAAUCUCCAUUGUAGCUGGAUGUGGCUGUGUGAUCAAGUUAUGACCAAUGAGAUAUAAGUAGAAGUAGCUUGGCCAGACACAGUGGCUCACACCUGUAAUCCCAGCCCUUUGGGAGGCCAAAGCAGGAGGAUCACUUGCACUCAGGAGUUGGAAACUGCAGACCAGCCUGGAGAACACAGUGACACCUUGUCUCUACACAAAAUGAAAAAGUUAGCAGGGUAUGGUGGCAUGUGCCUGUGGUCCCAGCUACUUCCAGCUACUUGGGAGGCUAAAAUGGAAGGAUCGCUUGAGCCUGGGAGAUUGAGGCCUCAGUGAGCCAUGAUCAUGCCACUGUACUCCAGCCUGGGUGACAAGAGCAAGACCCUGUCUCUCAAAAAAAAAAAAACGCGGCUGGGUGGAACAUCUGGAAAACAUCUUUAAAGAACGCUGACUCAAUCAGGAGGAGCACCAUUUUGUUUCUUGCCCUCUGCCCUUCCUGCCUGAAACAGGCAUUGCCAUUCUCUUCAAAACAUAUUUGAAAAAUGUCCAGGCUUCUCAUCUCUGUGUAAAACUGUUCAGUUUGUUCCAGUGUGACGAGAAGAAAUUGGACUGAGCAUACUUUUUUGUGAGACAUCCAUUUUCUUCCUUUGAUGAAUUUGACAACUUGUGACAAUUCUCACAUUUUGGAACAAGUCUCCUAAUUAUAGAAGAAGCUAAUAAUGAUAAUAUAAGAAAUUAUAAAUUAUUUGACUGUUUUCAAUUUAUCCAAAAGGAAGUUUAUCAAACUUUCUCCUCCUACUUUCUGCUCCACCCCACCCCUCAGCCCCGAUGCACACGCUGUGCCGUCACAGCACUUAUGCCUAGAGAAUUAUGAUCCUUAAAUAGCAGUCAACUCUUCUUAAAUAGCAGUCAGUUGUUCUAGCAGUGUAUCAGUUAGACAUUCUAGAAUAUUUCACAAAAUAAGAAUUUUGCAGAAGGAACAUUAUAGCUCCCUAGGUCUAGCAAAUGAGGGAACUAGGGUACAGAGAAAUUAAGUGACUUAAGAUCUCACAACAAACUAGUGGAGUACUUCUACUUAAAUAUAUCUCUAGAUACUCAUAGAAGGUAAAAGCUACAUUGAAAAUUCACACAACUCUUCUGGAAAGUGGCAAAUUCAAUGAUGCUGUAAAGUCUGGCAUAAUAUUCUAGUGGUCAAGACACUUUGGGUAGUAAAUGAGAGAGGCCAAAUUCAAAUCAGGCUAAGAAUAAAAAGAAAUGUUUUCUUUCAAGUGGGUGGAGCUCAAGUAAGUGUAAAUUCCAGGGGAUAAAUUGGAUUCAGGCAUAGCUGGAUGCAAAGGCUCAAAAAUGUCAUCAGAAUCUGCCUCUUUUUCUCUCUUGGUGUUGCUUGCCACUGUGUUGUCCUCAUUCUCAGGUAGCUUGACUCACACAGCUACAACAAUGGCUUAUAUCCUAAUGGUUGAUCAGCCACAGGGCAGAGUACACUUUUCCUCAGUGGUCCAAGCAAAAAUCCUGGGGCUCACUCUUACUGGCUGACUUGGAUCAGGUGUCCUUCUGGAGCACAACACAGUGACUCCAGGUGGCCAAGCUUGAAUCUCAUGCCACAUCCCUACCACCAGCUCCACUAAAAAGAACCACAUGGACAGAAGGGGAGGAGUGGUUACAAAGGGAAAAAUAAAUGUUUAUUACCCAGGGAGGGAUAAUGAAUGUAAGGCAAGCAAAAACGGGAAAAAAAAAAGUCCAUUAAAAAUUCAAUUUACACUAUUUACACUCACAUUGCACUGUAAACUGAUGCAAUUAAGAGUCUCAUUUCUUGCUUGGUGGUUAGGGAUUUAUAUUUCAUUAAAAAAAAUACUACCAACAUUAAGUAAGGGGAUACUUGAAGAAAACAAAGAUAUGCGAUGAAGAAAACUGGGCUUUGCAAAAAAAAAAAAAAAAAAGAUGUACUGUGAGUAUGUGUGUGUUUAUUAUAUUGUUAGUCCAUAAAUGAACACAAAGGCAAAUGAAAAAUAAAAACACUGGACAUCUGCCAAACAUUA